rnacentral:rRNA from 1 species
GACGAACGCUGGCGGCGUGCUUAACACAUGCAAGUCGAGCGGUAAGGCCCUUUGGGGUACACGAGCGGCGAACGGGUGAGUAACACGUGAGUAAUCUGCCUUUGGCUUGGGAAUAACUUCGGGAAAUCGGGGCUAAUGCCUGAUGUUUACUGUCUGCUGCAUGGUGGGUGGUGGAAAGAUUUUUUGGCCAGGGAUGAGCUCGCGGUCUAUCAGCUUGUUGGUGGGGUAAUGGCUACCAAGGCUUUGACGGGUAGCCGGCCUGAGAGGGUGUUCGGCCACACUGGGACUGAGACACGGCCCAGACUCCUACGGGAGGGCAGCAGUGGGGAAUAUUGCGCAAUGGGCGUAAGCCUGACGCAGCGACGCCGCGUGGGGAUGAAGGCC